rnacentral:rRNA from 1 species
UAGGGAAUCUUCCACAAUGGACGAAAGUCUGAUGGAGCAACGCCGCGUGAGUGAAGAAGGGUUUCGGCUCGUAAAACUCUGUUGUUAAGGAAGAACAUAUCUGAGAGUAACUGUUCAGGUAUUGACGGUNUUUAACCAGAAAGCCACGGCUAACUACGUGCCAA